rnacentral:rRNA from 1 species
AUACGGAGGGUGCAAGCGUUAAUCGGAAUUACUGGGCGUAAAGCGCGCGUAGGCGGUUUGAUAAGUCGGAUGUGAAAUCCCCGGGCUCAACCUGGGAAUUGCAUUCGAUACUGUCAGGCUAGAGUGUGGUAGAGGGAAGUGGAAUUUCCGUUGUAGCGGUGAAAUGCGUAGAUAUCGGAAGGAACACCAGUGGCGAAGGCGGCUUCCUGGACCAACACUGACGCUGAGGUGCGAAAGCGUGGGGAGCAAACAGGAUUAGAAACCCUAGUAGUCC